GAGCACGUAGGUGGGUUUGUAAGUCAGAUGUGAAAGCCUUCUGUUCAACGGAAGAAUUGCAUCUGAAACUGCGAGUCUUGAGUGUAGGAGGGGAGAAUGGAACUUCCGGUGGAGCGGUGAAAUGCGUAGAUAUCAGAAGGAACGCCGGCGGCGAAAGCGAUUCUCUGGCCUAUUACUGACACUCAGUGUGCGAAAGCUAGGGGAGCAAACGGGAUUAGAUACCCCGGUAGUCCUAGCCGUAAACGAUGGGCACUAAGUAGAGGGG
rnacentral:rRNA from 1 species